UGCGUAACGGGAGGGACGUUCUGGAAGGUUCGGCGGCCGCCCUCAGUCGCGGGCGGGCGGCGGCAGCGGGUGGAGGCGGCUCUCGGCUGCGGUUCUCUCGCUCUGCUAUCGCGCUUCUGUCGCCGAUCGCGGCUGGCGCGGCGCGCCCGGCGCUAUGGGGGUGACUCACGAAGCGGGGCUCUCCCCUCAGGACCCGUGCGGCGGCAGCCCGGCGGGCUGGAGCCGGAGCGCGCAGGUGCCUCAGGGGAACCAGCGCGGGGCGUGCCCGGCAGCGCCCAGCGGAACAGAGACGGGGCACUGCCGGGCAGCAGCCACGCCCGGGGCGGCGGCGGGUGGCGCGCAGAAGGGCAGCGCGGGGCAGACGGCCGACAUGGCGGAGUUCAUGGAUGACCUGACGCUGCGCUCUCCCGAGCGCGGGGGCUCCCCGGCGCGCUCGCGCUCCUCCAGCCGCUCCUCCAGCCGCUCCUCGCGCAGCUCCAGCUCCAGCAGCUCCUCCGGCCGCUCCUCGCGCUCCGGGAGCCGCUCCCGGUCCCGCUCCCGCUCCCGGCGGCGCCGCUCCCGCCGCCGCUCCCGCUCCUACUCGCGCAGCCGCUCGCGCUCCCGCGGCUCCCGGCGCUACCGCGGCCGCUACCGGCCCCGGCGCUACCGGCAGCGCUACCGCCGGCGGCGCUCCCGCUCCUGGUCCCGCGGCAGGGCGUGCUUCCGCCGCUCCUACUCCAGGAGCCGGAGCCGCUCCCGCGGCAGGCGCUACUACGGCUUCGGCAGAACCGUCUACCCCGAGGCCUACCGCGGCUGGAGGAGCCGCUCCCGCACGCGCUCCCGCAGCCGGUCACCGCUGCACCUCAGCGAGAAAGACAAAAGGGAACUCCUGGAAAUUGCAAAAGCCAAUGCUGCCAAAGCUCUGGGAACAGACAACAUUGUCCUGCCAGCGAGCCUGAAGAUCUCUGCUCCUGCCAAGGAGAUCAAAACGGAGAAGCAGGAGCGUGAGGAAGCCACGGAGUCAGCUGAGAUGUUGAGAGAGUACAGAAGAAGAGGCCUGCCUCCCUUGCAGAUAAGUUAAUUGCUGUUCUCCAAGGACGGGUGCAGAGCUGCUGCCCCUCGCUGGGGGUGGCCCCGGGUCCUCCCGGGGCUGGCACGGGGCUGGAGCUGCCUCUGUUCCUGGGCGUGGGCACGGCUGCCCGUGCUCCCUGGGCUCAGCCCUGCUGUGUGUGGCUGUGCAGCUCCUUUAGAUGAGAAACUGAACACUCCCCAGCUGUGCUGUGCAGGACUGCCUGCCCUGGGUCGGGGAUCCCCUGCUAAGCUCUGUCUGCUCCUCUUUAGCAACCUGGGAGUGCAGCUGAGGACGUGACCAAGGCUGGCAUGGAGAGAGCAACCAUCCAGAGGAGCAUUUCCUUCAGCCCUAAUAACACAAUGGCCAAGCCUGCCCUGCAGAAGCCAGUGAGCCACGUUGUGGUUAAGGAGCCAGUGGUGUCUCCAGCCAGGGAGGAUGACAGGAAGGGAAGCCCCUAUGGGCAGUGGGUUCCUGUCAAGAAGGAGGAGAAGAAAACAUUCCUGAACUUUUCACCCAAAAGCUCCCUGUUCCGGGCACGCUGAUGGGAGUCCUGGCAGCCUGCAGCACUUCACCCUCAGCACAGAGGGACACUUCUGAUGGGCUUGAAGACUUGUUAAUACUGAGUAUUUAUUUUGAGGUCUUAAUUUUUGGAAUCUUAGGUUUCUCUUUCAGAUAGAGAGCACACAGAUCCAGAAGCCACAGAUGGGAAUCUUGUGUAUAUUUGUAAAUAUUUUAUAUUGCUUUAUUGGACUAGAACUUGCAGGUGGGUAACUUUUUCUAAACCAUAGUUGAGUAGCUGUUCUUUGAACACCUGGAUUUACUUUGUGUAACUGUUUACUUCAAGUGAAUAAAGUUUAGUUUUGCACUGGC